ensembl:lncRNA
GAACAUUCUACAAAAACAGCUGACCUAUACUCACCAAAAUGCCAAGGUCAUGACAGGCAAGCAAAGAUUGAAGAAAGCUUCCAGAUUAAAGAAGACUGAGGAAACUCAACAGCCAAAUGCUCUCAGCCUCCUGUGUGCAAGCAGAGUUGCUAUGGUGCCAUCGCUUAUACUUGCAUCUGACACUUCUACGUUAGAGACCACCAAUCAAAAUCCUCAGUGGGCUUACGAGCAGAAUCCAGACCCAUCUCAGCCCCCAUCCCCUCCCACCUACCAUCUGGAUCUCCCUGCAGUGAUGGGAGCAGCAGGAGAAAGCAGAAAGAAACAUCUCCCCGCCCCCACCCCCUCCACCAUUAACUGCUGCAACCACCAGAAGCAGGAUCUAGAAAAAGAAGCCCCGAAGUCAUGAUUUUCCUCCAUUUUCCGCACCUUGCUGACCUGACAAGAACUUUAAGAGAUCCUGAAAGAACUUUUCAGUAUGAAUUUCAUGAGCUCAAGCGGAUGACUAAUUCCCAUCACAUCACUGCAAGACCCAGAAGGUCACUGUGCAAAUAUCUGUUGAAACCGUCCCUGAAAAGGUUUUUUAUUGAGGCUAUGGAAAUUAGGGAAGCCAGCUGCCAUGCUGUGAACUGCUCUAUGGAGAGCCUCAUGUGGAAAGGAACUGAUGUCUCCAGCCAACAGCCACAUGAAUGAAUUUAGAAGUGGAUCUUCCAUCAUUUGAGACUUGAGAUGACAGCAGUCCCAGACAAGCCCUUAACUGCAGACUUGUGAGAGGCCCUGAGCCAGAGAGAGUUGCCAUGAAUAUUUAAGCUUCAAAUUUUGAAGUAACGCAUUGAAGGACUCAGCAGAUGGUUUCCUGGCAUCAGAGAAGGAAGUAGGACGGAAAGCUGAGAAAUCCAGCUCUGACUUGAAGUGAGAAGUUCAAAGUCAGCCUGAGCUUGCACAGAAGUAUAUGCCAUAGCUUCAGCUAAAAUCACAGACUGGGAACAAAGGACAAAAGAUGACAAAAGAAAACCAACCAAGACAUCAUUGCAACAAUCCAGAGACUUCUCUUCCUGAAGAGUCUAAGCCAUUCAACAAAACACAUACCAGGACGGUGAACUCACCUAAAUAGGAAGACCUUGGAACAAGCUCCUCAGCUAGUAGGAUUCAUCGCCUGAUUGGACCCAAAGCUGUUCCACAAUUUGGAUUGAAAUAAGCAAUUUUUAACCAGUAGGUCAUUAAUGUGGUUACAGGGUUGACUGAAUUGACCUACCAAUUCAACCAAGUAGGUUAGUAGGAAAUUAGUCUAAAUAUUAAAAAAUUAAUUGUGAAGAAGCAUUUUCCUUACUGAUUGCAUAAACCUCCUCAUUAACUCAUUGUCUU